GAUGAACGCUGGCGGCGUGCCUAAUACAUGCAAGUCGAGCGAACAGACGAGGAGCUUGCUCCUCUGACGUUAGCGGCGGACGGGUGAGUAACACGUGGAUAACCUACCUAUAAGACUGGGAUAACUUCGGGAAACCGGAGCUAAUACCGGAUAACAUGUUGAACCGCAUGGUUCAACAGUGAAAGACGGUCUUGCUGUCACUUAUAGAUGGAUCCGCGCCGCAUUAGCUAGUUGGUAAGGUAACGGCUUACCAAGGCAACGAUGCGUAGCCGACCUGAGAGGGUGAUCGGCCACACUGGAACUGAGACACGGUCCAGACUCCUACGGGAGGCAGCAGUAGGGAAUCUUCCGCAAUGGGCGAAAGCCUGACGGAGCAACGCCGCGUGAGUGAAGAAGGUCUUCGGAUCGUAAAACUCCGUUAUUAGGGAAGAACAAAUGUGUAAGUAACUAUGCACGUCUUGACGGUACCUAAUCAGAAAGCCACGGCUAACUACGUG
rnacentral:rRNA from 1 species